rnacentral:rRNA from 1 species
CUGGUCUUGACAUCCACAGAACCUGGCAGAGAUGCCGGGGUGCCUUCGGGAACUGUGAGACAGGUGCUGCAUGGCUGUCGUCAGCUCGUGUUGUGAAAUGUUGGGUUAAGUCCCGCAACGAGCGCAACCCUUAUCCUUUGUUGCCAGCGGUUAGGCCGGGAACUCAAAGGAGACUGCCAGUGAUAAACUGGAGGAAGGUGGGGAUGACGUCAAGUCAUCAUGGCCCUUACGACCAGGGCUACACACGUGCUACAAUGGCGCAUACAAAGAGAAGCGACCUCGCGAGAGCAAGCGGACCUCAUAAAGUGCGUCGUAGUCCGGAUUGGAGUCUGCAACUCGACUCCAUUAAGUCGGAAUCGCUAGUAAUCGUGAAUCAGAAUGUCACGGUGAAUA